AAUGUAGAAAGAAGAAGGGGACAGGAUGUAUUGCUGUUAGAUGGGAAGCUGACUCAUAUGGUCUUCCUGCAUGGCCACAUCGGUCUACUGUGAGUGCAAGGACAAGGAUAAGGGAAAGAUAUGAACAUAAUGACACCACAGUAUUAUUUGGUCUACAAAGACAGAUGGAUCUGCAGUUGUAUCAGAUGCAUAAAAAAGACUUACAAAGUGAAUAACAGCACUAUCAGAGCUCAGCUGGAUCAUCUGGGAAUGACUGAAGACUUGGCCCUAACCUGUAGUGCCCUAGUGGUGGCAGAAUUAUUAAAUUCCCCCCAAUACAGGUUGCUAUUAUUUUCUGCAAUUCUGAAUGUCACUUGACUCUAAUGCAGCAAAGUCUUCAAUUAAUAUUAAGCACAAACUUGAAAUUUCAACUUCAAGGAUCUAUAUAACUGAAGCCACAGAAUAACCUUAGAAUUUAAACUUUUCUGACUUAAUUUGUUCUGUGAAACAGCUUGCAUAUAUGUGGCACCUUUAAAACCUACUAUUAAUGAUAAGACAUGGCUUCAGCUGGUGCCUACAAUAGAUAUCUAAUGAAUUACUUCAAUUUUGCACAAAUUCUCUUGGUUUAACCUCAAAUCUCUUGUUAGGGCUUGCACUGACUGUGAAUCUUACAUAUACUAAUGCCCGUGGUAACAUGUCAGGCUCACUUGACUGUGAGACAAAAUUUAACUUGAAAAGCCUUGUACAGUAUAACACCUUGGCCCAUUAUACUCCAUUUACUUUUAUUGCAGUCAGGGAGACCUGAAUUCAUCUCACAAUUGAUGCUGGCUUCAAAGAAAAAAUGCACUGCUAAUAAUGCACUUUAUGUUGGUCCCCAGAUAAUGGUUUAAAAAUUGAACUGAUUUUUUUUAUCACAUGCAAUUUCAUGCUUCUCAAUAUAGGAAGUAUAUUGUUGAGAUUGAAAAGGUACAGCAGAGGGCAAACAAAAUGAUUCAGGUUCUGCAAGUCUGAAUUACAAAGAAAGAUUUGCCUGUAUAUUUUAGAAAAGAGAAGUCUAAGCAAAGACUGUGUAGACAGAGAAAUAAGAUUUUGAAAGAAAGGAGCACACUAACACUAAC